UACAGAGGGGGCAAGCGUUGUUCGGAAUUACUGGGCGUAAAGGGCGCGUAGGCGGCCCGCUAAGUCGAACGUGAAAUCCCCGGGCUCAACCCGGGAACUGCGUCCGAUACUGGUGGGCUCGAAUCCGGGAGAGGGAUGCGGAAUUCCAGGUGUAGCGGUGAAAUGCGUAGAUAUCUGGAGGAACACCGGUGGCGAAGGCGGCAUCCUGGACCGGUAUUGACGCUGAGGCGCGAAAGCCAGGGGAGCAA
rnacentral:rRNA from 1 species